rnacentral:tRNA from 1 species
GCCAGGAUGGCCGAACGGUAAGGCGCACGCCUGGAAAGCGUGUUGCCUUUCGGGAUUCUGGGUUCGAAUUCCGAUGGACUCA